rnacentral:rRNA from 1 species
GAUGAACGCUGGCGGCGUGCCUAAUACAUGCAAGUCGAGCGAACGGACGAGAAGCUUGCUUCUCUGAUGUUAGCGGCGGACGGGUGGGUAACACGUGGAUAACCUACCUAUAAGACUGGGAUAACUUCGGGAAACCGGAGCUAAUACCGGAUAAUAUUUUGAACCGCAUGGUUCAAAAGUGAAAGACGGUCUUGCUGUCACUUAUAGAUGGAUCCGCGCUGCAUUAGCUAGUUGGUAAGGUAACGGCUUACCAAGGCAACGAUGCAUAGCCGACCUGAGAGGGUGAUCGGCCACACUGGAACUGAGACACGGUCCAGACUCCUACGGGAGGCAGCAGUAGGGAAUCUUCCGCAAUGGGCGAAAGCCUGACGGAGCAACGCCGCGUGAGUGAUGAAGGUCUUCGGAUCGUAAGACUCUGUUAUUAGGGAAGAACAUAUGUGUAAGUAACUGUGCACACCUUGACGGUACCUAAUCAGAAAGCCACGGCUAACUACGUGCCAGCAGCCGCGGUAAUACGUAGGUGGCAAGCGUUAUCCGGAAUUAUUGGGCGUAAAGCGCGCGUAGGCGGUUUUUUAAGUCUGAUGUGAAAGCCCACGGCUCAACCGUGGAGGGUCAUUGGAAACUGGAAAACUUGAGUGCAGAAGAGGAAAGUGGAAUUCCAUGUGUAGCGGUGAAAUGCGCAGAGAUAUGGAGGAACACCAGUGGCGAAGGCGACUUUCUGGUCUGUAACUGACGCUGAUGUGCGAAAGCGUGGGGAUCAAACAGGAUUAGAUACCCUGGUAGUCCACGCCGUAAACGAUGAGUGCUAAGUGUUAGGGGGUUUCCGCCCCUUAGUGCUGCAGCUAACGCAUUAAGCACUCCGCCUGGGGAGUACGACCGCAAGGUUGAAACUCAAAGGAAUUGACGGGGACCCGCACAAGCGGUGGAGCAUGUGGUUUAAUUCGAAGCAACGCGAAGAACCUUACCAAAUCUUGACAUCCUUUGACAACUCUAGAGAUAGAGCCUUCCCCUUCGGGGGACAAAGUGACAGGUGGUGCAUGGUUGUCGUCAGCUCGUGUCGUGAGAUGUUGGGUUAAGUCCCGCAACGAGCGCAACCCUUAAGCUUAGUUGCCAUCAUUAAGUUGGGCACUCUAAGUUGACUGCCGGUGACAAACCGGAGGAAGGUGGGGAUGACGUCAAAUCAUCAUGCCCCUUAUGAUUUGGGCUACACACGUGCUACAAUGGACAAUACAAAGGGCAGCGAAACCGCGAGGUCAAGCAAAUCCCAUAAAGUUGUUCUCAGUUCGGAUUGUAGUCUGCAACUCGACUACAUGAAGCUGGAAUCGCUAGUAAUCGUAGAUCAGCAUGCUACGGUGAAUACGUUCCCGGGUCU